UCUAGCGGCGGACGGGUUAGUAACGCGUGGGAACGUACCCUUUUCUACGGAAUAGCCUCGGGAAACUGAGAGUAAUACCGUAUACGCCCUUUGGGGGAAAGAUUUAUCGGAGAAGGAUCGGCCCGCGUUAGAUUAGAUAGUUGGUGGGGUAAUGGCCUACCAAGUCUACGAUCUAUAGCUGGUUUGAGAGGAUGAUCAGCAACACUGGGACUGAGACACGGCCCAGACUCCUACGGGAGGCAGCAGUGGGGAAUCUUAGACAAUGGGCGCAAGCCUGAUCUAGCCAUGCCGCGUGAGUGAUGAAGGCCUUAGGGUCGUAAAGCUCUUUCGCCUGUGAAGAUAAUGACUGUAGCAGGUAAAGAAACCCCGGCUAACUCCGUGCCAGCAGCCGCGGUAAUACGGAGGGGGUUAGCGUUGUUCGGAAUUACUGGGCGUAAAGCGCGCGUAGGCGGACAUUUAAGUCAGAGGUGAAAUCCCAGGGCUCAACCCUGGAACUGCCUUUGAUACUGGGUGUCUUGAGUUCGAGAGAGGUGAGUGGAAUUCCGAGUGUAGAGGUGAAAUUCGUAGAUAUUCGGAGGAACACCAGUGGCGAAGGCGGCUCACUGGCUCGAUACUGACGCUGAGGUGCGAAAGUGUGGGGAGCAAACAGGAUUAGAUACCCUGGUAGUCCACACCGUAAACGAUGAAUGCCAGUCGUCGG
rnacentral:rRNA from 1 species